CCCCCCGCCCCGCCCCAGUAGCUGAGAUUAUAGUCAUGCACCUCCACCAUCAGGUCAACAACUUUUUAGGGAACUGAAAUCAUGUACAAUAUGUUCCUUAACCACUGUGAACUUAAAUUUAAACAUAAAUAAUGUAAAGAUAUUAGAUCUCCAAAUGUUUGAAGAUUAAGCAACAUACUUCUAAAUAACCUGAAGAUCUAAGUAGAAAAUAUUUUAAACUAACUGAUAAUAAAAUAUAUCCAAACAUGUAUCAUGCAACUAAAGCAGUGUGUAGAGGACAAUCAUUAGAUAAAGAAAAGAAGCACAAAUUAAAACCAUAAAGUAGGAUAAAGAAAAAUAAUAAUAUUGAUCCUUUUGAAGUGGGACAGAAAAGGCUGGAUACCCAAGGAAUUAUCAAGAAGCAGGUUAAUAAACUGCAGGGUCCAGAGAGUCUGUUGGAUAGCCUAAAACAUUCUCUGGACAAUGACUAGAAUUUCUUUGAACUUAAUAUCCAGUGUGGGGUGGGGGCGGUGAGGGGGGAGUUGGAGAUUUACAUGCAGAGGAGUCAACAUCAAAGUUCUCAUAAAGUGCUUUUUGUUUCAUUUCUUAUGACAGAGGUUCACAACCAAAAUUAGCUUUUGCAAGACAGAGUAGAGCAACAGAAAAUAGGGUGGGAAGUAUCCCUUCUUUCUCAUAUUCAAGGAUUAGUUAAGUAUUGGCUUUUGUACCAUAGCUUAGUUUCAGCUUGGUUGUUUUUGUCAGUUUUUGAGCCCAUUGAGCCCUUCUGCAGAAAUCUUUCUUGACUGAUAUUUUAUUAACAAGAAAAAUUGUGGUGAGGGUCUCUGAAGAAGCUUAAUUAAGAUGCAUUGGUAGAGGAGGGGGUGCCACCACAUUUUCAGUUAAUAAACAUGAUAUUGGGUAUUCAUGCUGUGUGUGCGAUGUGUCUCCCUCUAAACCUUCUGGGCACAUUGCUUGUCUGAUAUGGAAAAAAUAA
rnacentral:lncRNA from 1 species